UAGUGGUGUGCCGUCGCGGUGGUUCGCGGAGACUAGGGUUUCUUCUAAACCUUCUAUGCUUGUUACUCAUACCAUUUUUUCAAAGUUUGGCAAGAUAAGCAAGCUUGAGUAGAUUUGGCCUAUCAUCUCAACUCAAGGUUUAGCCAUGGUAGACUUAUUGAUGCAAGCUUGGGGAAUGUUUGGCCUUGAGGUGUGCAUGCAUCACUGCCUCAACAACUGGUUUUUCAAUGCACAUGGAUGAAUCCUAUUGAACCCUUCUUCCAGUUCAGCAUAUGGAUGUAGGACCAAUGUACUUCCUUUGUAUCUCACUUUCAAACUCAUGCCUAAAGGACUUGCAGCUCAUGGUGACAAGUACUGCAAACCCAAUGCAUUGGUGUGGUUCCAUUUGGCUUGUUGCAGGCUUUGGGGUAUGUCUUAUUUUAGUGACUUUGUAGCAGCAGUCAUGAGUUCAGUUGGCUAGGUCCAUAUGUUAUGCAAUGAUGGCUCAUACUUGGUGGUUGUUGCAUUAUUGGUUGCAGGAAUUGUUGCUGCAG